rnacentral:rRNA from 1 species
UACGUAGGGUGCAAGCGUUAAUCGGAAUUACUGGGCGUAAAGCGUGCGCAGGCGGUUCUAUUAGGCAGAUGUGAAAUCCCCGGGCUCAACCUGGGAACUGCAUUUGUGACUGUAGAGCUGGAGUACGGCAGAGGGGGAUGGAAUUCCGCGUGUAGCAGUGAAAUGCGUAGAUAUGCGGAGGAACACCGAUGGCGAAGGCAAUCCCCUGGGCCUGUACUGACGCUCAUGCACGAAAGCGUGGGGAGCAAACAGG